rnacentral:rRNA from 1 species
AUUGAACGCUGGCGGCAGGCCUAACACAUGCAAGUCGAACGAGUGGCGGACGGGUGAGUAAUGUCUGGGAAACUGCCCGAUGGAGGGGGAUAACUACUGGAAACGGUAGCUAAUACCGCAUACCAUCGGAUGUGCCCAGAUGGGAUUAGCUAGUAGGUGGGGUAAAGGCUCACCUAGGCGACGAUCCCUAGCUGGUCUGAGAGGAUGACCGUCAACACGGGAACGGAGAAACGUUCCAGACUCCUACGUGGGGCAGCAGUGGGGAAUUUUGGACAAUGGGGAAACCCUGAUCCAGCCAUCCCGCGUGUGCGAUGAAGGCCUUCGGGUUGUAAAGCACUUUUGGCAGGAAAGCGGUACCUGCAGAAUAAGCACCGGCUAACUACGUGCCAGCAGCCGCGGUAAUAC